rnacentral:rRNA from 1 species
GAUGAACGCUGGCGGCGUGCCUAAUACGUGCAAGUCGAGCGAACAGACGAGGAGCUUGCUCCUUUGACGUUAGCGGCGGACGGGUGUGUAACACGUAGGUAACCUACCUAUAAGACUGGGAUAACUUCGGGAAACCGGAGCUAAUACCGGAUAAUAUUUCGAACCGCAUGGUUCGAUAGUGAAAGAUGGCUUUGCUAUCACUUAUAGAUGGACCUGCGCCGUAUUAGCUAGUUGGUAAGGUAACGGCUUACCAAGGCAACGAUACGUAGCCGACCUGAGAGGGUGAUCGGCCACACUGGAACUGAGACACGGUCCAGACUCCUACGGGAGGCAGCAGUAGGGAAUCUUCCGCAAUGGGCGAAAGCCUGACGGAGCAACGCCGCGUGAGUGAUGAAGGUCUUCGGAUCGUAAAACUCUGUUAUUAGGGAAGAACAAACGUGUAAGUAACUGUGCACGUCUUGACGGUACCUAAUCAGAAAGCCACGGCUAACUACGUG